GGAACCAGUGAGGAUGACAGGUGGGGGAUGAAUCCUGGACAGUCGACAGUAUGUGUUUGGAACCUUGAGGUGCAA
ensembl:snoRNA